ensembl:misc_RNA Metazoa_SRP Metazoan signal recognition particle RNA
GCCUGGCGUGGUGGCGCAUAUCUGUAAUCCCAGCUACUUGGGAGGCUGAGGUGGGAGAAUCACUUGAACCCAGGAGGUGGAGGUUGCAGUGAGCUGAAACUGAGCCACUGCACUCCAGCCUGGGUGACAGAGUGAGACUCCAUCUCAA